AAUUCACUAGAGAGGGGAAAAAACUACCUCAACCAGGAAAUACAUCUUUUACGGCUAUUUCAUCCUCCCCUCACGUGGCGCUGGAAUAUCGCUUUAAAGAACAUUCUUGUGGCCUUUCCAGCGCUUUUCCUUUAGGUCUGCAAACAGGACUAGCCCGUCCAAGGGGAAACUACUCCCCAGCAGAGCAGUUCUUCAAAGGGGACUUCUUCGGGCAGGAAAAGGGAACGUCUGAUACUGUAGCUGAAUAAACAGACUCAUCAAGCCCGGUGCCAGAUUGGAAAACCAGGCCUCUGAGCUCGCAGCCAGCCAGCCAUGCGCCUCCUGCGCACCCUCGCUCUGGCUCUCUCCUUCUGUCUCUCUCGUUUGUCCCUUCCAUCCUGUCAUCUUCUUCACCAAAUGCCUUAAUGUCCCCGGGUAGAGAGCUAUUGUUUUUAUGAUUAUUCGUUGGCUGAUCUAAUAGGUGCUGCAAGUUUCCAAGGCUAUUUUUGAAUCACAAACUGUUCCAUCGUCUUUACCAGGCAGUUCACUUUCUCUCGCAGCGUUCACAUGUUCCCACAGUCACCAACCUUCCACAGGCAGCAGCUCCUUCUAAAGGUGGGACGGACGAGUCACACACUCAACGUGGUGAAAAAUAUCACACACUGGCUGUUACUGGCCACUCUUGACAACAUCAUAGAAGAAAAAGAGGAUAUCAGGAAAUGAUUAACUGGUUUUUGAGCAAAGAGAAAAAGAAAAAGCAACGAUUUCUGGAGCUUCUUUCUGGGGAGCUGACAUAAAACUGGAG
ensembl:lncRNA